rnacentral:misc_RNA from 1 species
GAAAUGCGAUAAGUAAUGUGAAUUGCAGAAUUCAGUGAAUCAUCGAAUCUUUGAACGCACAUUGCGCUCGCCAGUAUUCUGGCGAGCAUGCCUGUUCAAGCGUCAUUUCAACCAUCAAGCUCUGCUUGCGUUGGGGAUCCGCGGCUGCCCGCGGUCCCUCAAAAACAGUGGCGGGCUCGCUAGUCACACCGAGCGUAGUAACUCUACAUCGCUAUGGUCGUGCGGCGGGUUCUUGCCGUAAAACCCCCAAUUUCUAAGGUUGACCUCGGAUCAGGUAGGAAUACCCGCUGAACUUAAGC